rnacentral:misc_RNA from 1 species
AAGAAGAAUUAGAUCUUCAUGUAGGUGUUGAACGUCAAGUAGAUGAAUCAGACCUAAAAAACCUGGUGUAUCUUCAAGCUGUGAUAAAAGAGACCCUCCGCCUAUACCCUGUAGCUCCACUGUCAGGACCCCGGCAAGCCCUGGAAGAUUGCACCAUUGGUGGCUAUCAUGUUCCGGCUGGCACUCGCUUGAUGGUAAAUGUAUGGAAGAUUCAUAGGGAUCCAAGAUUGUGGACAGAUCCAUCAGCCUUCCAACCACAGAGGUUUCUCACAAGCCAUGUUGGUGUUGAUGUCAGAGGUCAACACUUUGUGCUGAUUCCUUUUGGUUCUGGUAGACGAUCAUGCCCAGGCACAUCAUUUGCACUACACGCCCUCCAUCUGACAAUUGCUAGACUCCUUCAUGCGUUUGAUUUAUCGACUCCCAUGGACCAGCCUGUAGAUAUGACCGAGGGACCCGGAGUAAUUCUACCAAAAGCAACCCCAUUAGAGG